rnacentral:rRNA from 1 species
UAACGGGGAAUUAGGGUUCGAUUCCGGAGAGGGAGCCUGAGAAACGGCUACCACAUCCAAGGAAGGCAGCAGGCGCGCAAAUUACCCAAUCCCGAUACGGGGAGGUAGUGACAAUAAAUAACAAUACGGGGCUUUAUAGGGUCUUGUAAUUGGAAUGAGUACAAUUUAAAUUUCUUAACGAGGAACAAUUGGAGGGCAAGUCUGGUGCCAGCAGCCGCGGUAAUUCCAGCUCCAAUAGCGUAUAUUAAAGUUGUUGCAGUUAAAAAGCUUGUAGUUGAAUUUUAGGCUUGAUAGGACGGUCCUGCUCUAAGGGGUAUGAACUGGUGUAGUCAAUUUCUCACCUUCUGGAGAACCGCGAUGCCCUUAAUUGGGUGUCACAGGGAACCAGGACCUUUACUUUGAAAAAAUUAGAGUGUUUAAAGCAGGCAUUCGCUUGAAUACAUUAGCAUGGAAUAAUAGAAUAGGACUUUGGUUCUAUUUUGUUGGUUUCUAGGACCGAAGUAAUGAUUAAUAGGGAUAGUUGGGGGCAUUAGUAUUUAAUUGUCAGAGGUGAAAUUCUUGGAUUUAUUAAAGACUAACUUCUGCGAAAGCAUUUGCCAAGGAUGUUUUCAUUAAUCAAGAACGAAAGUUAGGGGAUCGAAGACGAUCAGAUACCGUCGUAGUCUUAACCAUAAACUAUGCCGACUAGGGAUCAGGCAAGGAUGUUUUUUUGACUUGUUUGGCACCUUAUGAGAAAUCAAAGUUUUUGGGUUCCGGGGGGAGUAUGGUCGCAAGGCUGAAACUUAAAGGAAUCGACGGAAGGGCACCACCAGGAGUGGAGCCUGCGGCUUAAUUUGACUCAACACGGGGAAACUCACCACGUCCAG